AUGUUGGCAGUGGAUUCCCUGGCCACUGCCUCAGUGAUGGCAGAAUGGCACUUCUCUAUUCCAUGCUGGUUUCCAUCGUGGGGAUGGCACUGUACACAGGAUACGUCUUCAUGCCUCAGCACAUCAUGGCGAUACUGCACUACUUUGAAAUUGUACAGUGACCAACAUGUGACCAAGUCAAGAAGCUCCUUAGGGAAGACCCAUCGCCUGAAUUUGGAAAGAGACUUCAUCAGAUGUCAUAAGAAACUCUCCUAGAUGUCAACAUAACCAACCCUAUGAAUAUAAGGACUAAAAUUCAUGAGUAGAACAGGAAAGCGAUCCUGACUCAUGUGUUGUGUUCUUUAUUUUUAAUUUUAAA
rnacentral:lncRNA from 1 species